rnacentral:tRNA from 1 species
GGAGGGAUGGCCGAGUGGCUUAAGGCGGCGGUCUUGAAAACCGUUGAGUUUCAAAGCUCCGUGGGUUCGAAUCCUACUCCCUCCGCCA